rnacentral:rRNA from 1 species
GGUUGCGAUCAUACCAGCACUAAUGCACCGGAUCCCAUCAGAACUCCGCAGUUAAGCGUGCUUGGGCGAGAGUAGUACUAGGAUGGGUGACCCAUUGUGAAGUCCCCGUGUUGCAACCC